rnacentral:rRNA from 1 species
CAGCAGCCGCGGUAAUACAGAGGGUGCAAGCGUUAAUCGGAUUUACUGGGCGUAAAGGGCGCGUAGGUGGUUAUGUAAGUGAGAUGUGAAAUCCCCGGGCUCAACCUGGGAACUGCAUCUUAUACUGCGUAGCUGGAGUGCAGUAGAGGGUAGUGGAAUUUCCGGUGUAGCGGUGAAAUGCGUAGAUAUCGGAAGGAACACCAGUGGCGAAGGCGGCUACCUGGACUGACACUGACACUGAGGCGCGAAAGCGUGGGGAGCAAACAGGAUUAGAUACCCGAGUAGUCCCUGUCUCUUAUAU